GGUCAAGCUACAAAGGGCGCAUGGUGAAUGCCUUGGCACCAGGAGCCGACGAAGGACGCGAUAAGCUGCGAUAAGCUUCGGGUAGACGCAAAUAGUCUGUGAACCGAAGAUUUCCGAAUGGGGAAACCCACAAUGCUUGCAUUGUACUAUAAACUGAAUUCAUAGGUUUAUAGAGGUAAACCCGGGGAACUGAAACAUCUAAGUACCCGGAGGAAGAGAAAGAAACAUCGAUUUUCUUAGUAGCGGCGAGCGAAAGGGAAAGAGCCCAAACCAGGAACUUGUUCCUGGGGUAAGGGUAGACAUAACGGAAGGAAAUAAGUUAACUGAAGUGAGCUGGAAGGCUCCGCCAAAGAAGGUAAAAGCCCUGUAAGUGAAAAUUAAAGCUUCCAGUCUAUUCCAGAGUACCACGAGACACGUGAAACCUUGUGGGAAUGCGGGAGGACCACCUCCUAAGGCUAAAUACUACCUGGUGACCGAUAGUGAAGAAGUACCGUGAGGGAAAGGUGAAAAGAACCCCGGAAGGGGAGUGAAAUAGAACCUGAAACCGUGUGUCCACAACCGAUCGAAGCACUUUUACGUGCGACGAUGUGCUUUUUGUAGAACGAGCCAACGAGUUACGGUAUGCAGCAAGGUUAAGUACUUAAGGUACGGAGCCGAAGGGAAACCGAGUCUGAAUAGGGCGACUAGUUGCAUGCUGUAGACCCGAAACCGAGUGACCUAUCCAUGGCCAGGUUGAAGCGGAAGUAAAAUUCCGUGGAGGACCGAACCACGUUGGUGUUGAAAAACCAUGGGAUGAGCUGUGGAUAGCGGAGAAAUUCCAAUCGAACUCGGAGAUAGCUGGUUCUCCUCGAAAUAGCUUUAGGGCUAGCGUUGAGUAUGAGUAGUGGAGGUAGAGCACUGAAUGGGCUAGGGGCUGACAACAGUUACUGAACCCUAUCAAACUCCGAAUGCCAUAUACUUGAAUCUCAGCAGUCAGACUACGAAUGAUAAGAUCCGUGGUCAAAAGGGAAACAGCCCAGAUCAUCAGCUAAGGUCCCAAAGUGUAAGUUAAGUGGAAAAGGAUGUGGGAUUUCUAAGACAACUAGGAUGUUGGCUCAGAAGCAGCCACUCAUUUAAAGAGUGCGUAAUAGCUCACUAGUCGAGAGGUCCUGCGCCGAAGAUGUCCGGGGCUAAAACUUACCACCGAAGCUAUGGACUCGAAAGAGUGGUAGAGGAGCUUCCUGCAUGGGUUGAAGUCGCACCGUAAGGAGCGGUGGACUGUGCAGGAGUGAGAAUGUUGGCAUAAGUAGCGAGAAAUAAGUGAGAAUCUUAUUGGUCGAAAACCUAAGGUUUCCUGAGGAAGGUUCGUCCGCUCAGGGUUAGUCGGGACCUAAGCCCAGGCCGAAAGGCGUAGGCGAUGGACAAUCGGUUGAUAUUCCGAUACCGCAAAUUUGCGUUUGACAAANNNNNNNNNNNNNNNNNNNNNNNNNNNNNNNNNNNNNNNNNNNNNNNNNNNNNNNNNNNNNNNNNNNNNNNNNNNNNNNNNNNNNNNNNNNNNNNNNNNNUGCACACUAUUGGAUGUGUGUCUAAGCACUUAGGCAGGCUGGAUUGGAAAAUCCGUUCAGUCAAUGCUGAGGUGUUACAGGGAUCCCUUUCGGGAGAAGUAUCUGAUUCCACGCUGCCAAGAAAAGUCUCUAUGGAGUAAGUUUGUGCCCGUACCGCAAACCGACACAGGUAGGUGAGGAGAGAAUCCUAAGACCAUCGGAAGAAUUGUUGUUAAGGAACUAGGCAAAUUAACUCCGUAACUUAGGGAUAAGGAGUGCCCCGAAAGGGGCCGCAGAGAAUAGGCUCAAGCAACUGUUUAUCAAAAACACAGGUCUCUGCUAAAGCGAAAGCUGAAGUAUAGGGGCUGACGCCUGCCCGGUGCUGGAAGGUUAAGGGGAAUACUUAGCGCAAGCGAAGGUAUGAACUUAAGCCCCAGUAAACGGCGGCCGUAACUAUAACGGUCCUAAGGUAGCGAAAUUCCUUGUCGGGUAAGUUCCGACCCGCACGAAUGGCGUAAUGAUUUGAGCACUGUCUCGACAACAAAUCCGGCGAAAUUGUAGUGCAAGUGAAGAUGCUUGCUACCCGCGAUUGGACGGAAAGACCCCGUAGAGCUUUACUGCAGUUUAGCAUUGAGUUUCGGUAUUGUCUGUACAGGAUAGGUGGGAGACUUGGAUAUUAGGGCGCCAGCCCUUUUGGAGUCGCCCUUGGGAUACCACCCUGACAGUACUGGAAUUCUAACCGGCGGCCAUGAAACUGGUCACGGGACAUUGUUAGGCAGGCAGUUUGACUGGGGCGGUCGCCUCCUAAAAUGUAACGGAGGCGCCCAAAGGUUCCCUCAGAAGGGUCGGAAAUCCUUCGAAGAGUGCAAAGGCAUAAGGGAGCCUGACUGCGACACAUACAGGUGGAGCAGGGACGAAAGUCGGGCUUAGUGAUCCGGUGGUACCUCGUGGGAGGGCCAUCGCUCAACGGAUAAAAGCUACCUCGGGGAUAACAGGCUGAUCUCCCCCAAGAGUCCACAUCGACGGGGAGGUUUGGCACCUCGAUGUCGGCUCGUCGCAUCCUGGGGCUGAAGUAGGUCCCAAGGGUUGGGCUGUUCGCCCAUUAAAGCGGCACGCGAGCUGGGUUCAGAACGUCGUGAGACAGUUCGGUCCCUAUCCGUCGCGGGCGCAGGAAAUUUGAGAGGAGCUGUCCUUAGUACGAGAGGACCGGGAUGGACUGACCUCUGGUGUACCAGUUGUUCCGCCAGGAGCAUGGCUGGGUAGCUAUGUCGGGAAGGGAUAAACGCUGAAAGCAUCUAAGCGUGAAGCCCACCUCAAGAUUAGAUUUCCCACAGCGUAAGCUGGUAAGGCCCCUUGAAGAACACAAGGUGAUAGGUCAGAGGUGUAAGCAUGGCAACAUGUUCAGCUGACUGAUACUAAUAGGCCGAGGGCUUGACCAA
rnacentral:rRNA from 1 species